CCUACGGGAGGCAGCAGUGGGGAAUAUUGGACAAUGGGCGCAAGCCUGAUCCAGCCAUACCGCGUGGGUGAAGAAGGCCUUCGGGUUGUAAAGCCCUUUUGUUGGGAAAGAAAAGCAGCGGGCUAAUACCUUGCUGUUUUGACGGUACCCAAAGAAUAAGCCCCGGCUAACUUCGUGCCAGCAGCCGCGGUAAUACGAAGGGUGCAAGCGUUUCUCGGAAUUUCUGGGCGUAAAGCGUGCGUAGGUGGUUGUUUAAGUUUGUUGUGAAAACCCUGGGCUCAACCUGGGAACUGCAGUGGAAACUGGAUGACUAGAGUGUGGUAGAGGGUAGCGGAAUUCCCGGUGUAGCAGUGAAAUGCGUAGAGAUCGGGAGGAACAUCCAUGGCGAAGGCAGCUCCCUGGACCAACACUGACACUGAGGCACGAAAGCGUGGGGAGCAAACAGGAUUAGAUACCCUGGUAGUCCCCGCCCUAAACGAUGCGAACUGGAUGUUGGGUGCACUUGGCACGCAGUAUCGAAGCUAACGCGU
rnacentral:rRNA from 1 species